GGGGGGGGGGGGGGGGGGGGCGAGGGCGGGGAGGGCGGGGGGGGGGGGGAGAAGCGGGCUGCGCGGGUGUUAGCGGGGGACGGGGGGGGAACACGUGGAUAACCUACCUCUAAGACGGGGAUAACUUCGGGAAACCGGAGCUAAGACCGGAUAAUAUUAUGAACAGCAUGGUUCAAAAGUGAAAGACGGUCUUGCUGUCACUUAUAGAUGGAUCAGCGCUGCAUUAGCUAGUUGGUAAGGUAACGGCUUACCAAGGCAACGAUGCAUAGCCGACCUGAGAGGGUGAUCGGCCACACUGGAACUGAGACACGGUCCAGACUCCUACGGGAGGCAGCAGUAGGGAAUCUUCCGCAAUGGGCGAAAGCCUGACGGAGCAACGCCGCGUGAGUGAUGAAGGUCUUCGGAUCGUAAAACUCUGUUAUUAGGGAAGAACAUAUGUGUAAGUAACGGUGCACAUCUUGACGGUACCUAAUCAGAAAGCCACGGCUAACUACGU
rnacentral:rRNA from 1 species